GUUUUCUUCCUCUACCUCCAUCUAAGUCAUACCCGAUGUCCAAUUCCUUGAGGAUCUUGCUUAAUGGAUCAAUACUAAGACAAAAAAGGAGUGGAGAGAGACUAUCUCCCUGGAAUAUCCCUCGCGUCACUUUUAUGUCUGGGAUUAUUAUCUGCCCCUCUGCAUGGUUUAGAGUGAUGGUGGUGUUCCACUUAUUCAUUUGUGUUUUCAAGAGAGAUCUUACUUCCUUAUUGAUGUUAUAAAGUUCUAGGCAUCUCAUAAUCCAUGAAUGUGGGACAUUAUCAAAUGCCUUUUUGUAGUCAAUCCAAGCCAUGCUGAGGUUUCUCCUCCUUCUUUUGCAGUCCUCCAGGAUAGCAUUGUCUAUCAAUAACUGGUCUUUAGCGCCUAAUCUUUUUCUGAAACAACCUUUCUGCUCAUUCUCCAGGUAGCCACCAGUGUCCAAAUGUUCAUAAACGGCAUCGGCUAUAAUUCCUGUCAGCCAUUUAUAAGUUGUUGUUAAGCAACAGAUGGGUCUAUACUUGUUGGGAGCUGUUUCCUUGUUGUCUUUUUUAACAAA